rnacentral:rRNA from 1 species
UAUGAACGCUGGCGGCGUGCCUAAUACAUGCAAGUCGAGCGAACAGACGAGGAGCUUGCUCCUCUGACGUUAGCGGCGGACGGGUGAGUAACACGUGAAUAACCUACCUAUAAGACUGGGAUAACUUCGGGAAACCGGAGCUAAUACCGGAUAAUAUAUUGAACCGCAUGGUUCAAUAGUGAAAGACGGUUUUGCUGUCACUUAUAGAUGGAUCCGCGCCGCAUUAGCUAGUUGGUAAGGUAACGGCUUACCAAGGCAACGAUGCGUAGCCGACCUGAGAGGGUGAUCGGCCACACUGGAACUGAGACACGGUCCAGACUCCUACGGGAGGCAGCAGUAGGGAAUCUUCCGCAAUGGGCGAAAGCCUGACGGAGCAACGCCGCGUGAGUGAUGAAGGUCUUCGGAUCGUAAAACUCUGUUAUUAGGGAAGAACAAAUGUGUAAGUAACUAUGCACGUCUUGACGGUACCUAAUCAGAAAGCCACGGCUAACUACGUGCCAGCAGCCGCGGUAA